CCUACGGGUGGCAGCAGUAGGGAAUCUUCCAAAAUGGGCGAAAGCCUGAUGGGGCAACGCCGCGUGGGUGAAGAAGGUCUUCGGAUCGUAAAACCCUGUUGUUAGAGAAGAAAGGGCGUGAGAGGAACUGUUCACGUUUCGACGGUAGCUAACAGGAAAGACACGGCUAACAAAGGGCAAGCAGCGGCGGGAAUACGUAGGUGGCAAGCGUUAUCCGGAUUUAUUGGGCGGAAAGGGAAAGAAGGCGGUCUUUUAAGUCUGAUGUGAAGGCCUUCGGCUUAACCGGAGUAGUGCAUUGGAGACUGGGAGACUUGCGUGCAGAAGAGGAGAGUAGAACUCCAUUUGUAGCGGUGAAAUGCGUAGAUAUAUAGAAGAACCCCAGUGGCGAAAGCGGCUCUCUGGUCUGUAACUGACGCUGAGGUUCGAAAGCGUGGGUAGCAAACAGGAUUAGAUACCCGUGUAGUC
rnacentral:rRNA from 1 species